ACUACGGGUGGCAGCAGUGGGGGAUAUUGCACAAUGGGGGGAACCCUGAUGCAGCGACGCCGCGUGGGUGAAGAAGCGCCUCGGCGCGUAAAGCCCUGUCAGCAGGGAAGAAAAUGACGGUACCUGAAGAAGAAGCCCCGGCUAACUACGUGCCAGCAGCCGCGGUAAUACGUAGGGGGCAAGCGUUAUCCGGAUUUACGGGGUGUAAAGGGGGCGGAGACGGCGAUGCAAGCCAGGAGUGAAAGCCCGGGGCCCAACCCCGGGACUGCUCUUGGAACUGCGUGGCUGGAGUGCAGGAGGGGCAGGCGGAAUUCCUGGUGUAGCGGUGAAAUGCGUAGAUAUCAGGAGGAACACCGGUGGCGAAGGCGGCCUGCUGGACUGCAACUGACGUUGAGGCCCGAAAGCGUGGGGAGCAAACAGGAUUAGAUACCCUAGUAGUC
rnacentral:rRNA from 1 species